ACACACACACACACACACACACACUUUUUUCUUGGUGACAGACCGGGGUGAUGUCGGGAAAGGACAUUUUCCUAUCGUUAAAGGACCGGGGUGAUGGAUGGAAAGGACAUUUUCCUGUCAUUAAAGGAUAAAGGGUCCGGUUAGCCCUGACCAUUAUCCGUUUCCAAUUCACCAACUCAAAGACGCCCGCUCCAUCAUAACUCCGUAAGUUUUCCCUCCAUGUGUAGAUCAACCAUCCUGCCUGUAAAUCCUGGGUACAUCAUUAAUGAAUAAGAUGUGUAGAAAACUGUUUAGCCAUAGUUAAAGGCCUUUCAUAAAGAGGCUGUCAUGAUUGCCUGUGCCACAUGUUUAACACGUAUUGCUUGUUACCGAAUACUACUGUUGUACAUUUAAUAUCCACUAGCAGAUUUAGUCGCAUUUGCACAAAUUCUGUCAUGUUACUGUGGUCUUUUUAAAAGUCAAUAAAUAUGUGUGUAAAGUGUA